GCGAGCAGCUGGGCGGUCGCUGCUGAUCGCAAGAUCAGGAGAGGAAAGUCCGAACUCCGCAGGGCAGUGUGCCGGAUAACGUCCGGGAUCGAAGCGUCAAGGCUUCGAGACGGCUAGUGCCACAGAGAAGAUACCGCCUACGCCGCAAGGCGCAAGGUAAGGGUGAAAAGGUGCGGUAAGAGCGCACCGCUCCGGCGGUAACGUCGGGGGCAGGGUAAACCCCACACGGAGCAAGACCAAAUAGGGAGGGAUGCGCGGGUGAGACCCAGAUAGCCGCGCGGCGUGCCUGCCCGGCGCGCCAACGUGGGUUCUCCAGACUGGCGGGCUUGCCCCGCAAAGUGGAGCGGAAACCUUCGGGUAGGUCGCUUGAGCGCCGCAGCAAUGCGUCGCCUAGAGGAAUGACCGUCCUCGACAGAAUUCGGCUUACAGGCUGCUUGCAAUG
rnacentral:RNase_P_RNA from 1 species